rnacentral:sRNA from 1 species
CCGCCUGCUGCGGGCAGAUGAAGUGCACAUGGGUGUCGAUGGCACCGGCGGUGAGGAUCUUGCCGUUGCCCGCGAUGACCUCGGUCUCCGGGCCGAUGACCAGGUCGGGGUGGACGCCGUCCAUGGUCUCGGGGUUGCCGGCCUUGCCCAGGGCGGCGAUCCGGCCGUCACGGAUGCCGACGUCGGCCUUAACGAUGCCCCAGUGGUCGAGCACGACCGCGCCGGUGAUCACGGUGUCGGGGGUGCCCUCGGCGCGGGUGGCGCGGGACUGGCCCAUCGAUUCACGG